rnacentral:rRNA from 1 species
AUUGAACGCUGGCGGCAGGCCUAACACAUGCAAGUCGGACGGUAGCACAGAGAGCUUGCUCUUGGGUGACGAGUGGCGGACGGGUGAGUAAUGUCUGGGGAUCUGCCCGAUAGAGGGGGAUACCACUGGAAACGGUGGCUAAUACCGCAUAACGUCGCAAGACCAAAGAGGGGGACCUUCGGGCCUCUCACUAUCGGAUGAACCCAGAUGGGAUUAGCUAGUAGGCGGGGGAAUGGCCCACCUAGGCGACGAUCCCUAGCUGGUCUGAGAGGAUGACCAGCCACACUGGAACUGAGACACGGUCCAGACUCCUACGGGAGGCAGCAGUGGGGAAUAUUGCACAAUGGGCGCAAGCCUGAUGCAGCCAUGCCGCGUGUAUGAAGAAGGCCUUCGGGUUGUAAAGUACUUUCAGCGGAGAGGAAGGCGGUACGGUUAAUAACCGUACCGAUUGACGUUACCCGCAGAAGAAGCACCGGCUAACUCCGUGCCAGCAGCCGCCGCAG